UUAACUGCAAUCUUGGCUUCUAAGUUUUGGAUCUGGGGGCCUCGCUCAACGCGUUAUUUGUCAUCGAUUGCAGUUUGGGAUGUCCAUUACUGACUCUUAGCACAUACUACUAUUACCUUUCCUUUCUCUCCGGCUUUCCAGAAAGAUUUUUUUGAAAAAUCCAAGUGCACAAUUACUUCAAGUUUGCCUUUUUGCCAACCGGGCGUCCCAAUUUAAAGUUGUACUGCACUAUUUCAGUAAGAAAUGUAUGAUAACCUUGGAGCACAGCCUGGAGUUCCAAGACCGCCUGCUAAUACGCAGGCAAAUCCUUUUGGAAAUGCAUUCUCUGGUGCUAGCUCUGGUUUCAUCAGAGGUGGAUUAGGGGCUUAUGGAGAAAAAAUCCUUGGAUCUAGUUCUCAGUAUGUUCAAAGCAAUGUAAGUUUUUCAAUGUAGUUUCUUU